GACGAACGCUGGCGGCGUGCUUAACACAUGCAAGUCGAACGGAAAGGCCCUGCUUUUGUGGGGUGCUCGAGUGGCGAACGGGUGAGUAACACGUGAGUAACCUGCCCUUGACUUUGGGAUAACUUCAGGAAACUGGGGCUCAUACCGGCUAGGAGCUCCUGCUGCAUGGUGGGGGUUGGAAAGUUUCGGCGGUUUGGGCUGGACUCGCGGCUUAUCAGCUUGUUGGUGUGGUAGUGGCUUACCAAGGGUUUGACGGGUAGCCGGCCUGAGAGGGUGACCGGCCACAUGGGGACUGAGGUACGGCCCAGACGCCUACGGGAGGCAGCAGUGGGGAAUUUUGCACAAUGGGCGGGAGCCAGAUGCAGCAACGCCGCGUGCGGGAUGACGGCCUUCGGGUUGUAAACCGCUUUCGCCUGUGACGAAGCGUGAGUGACGGUAAUGGGUAAAGAAGCACCGGCUAACUACGUG
rnacentral:rRNA from 1 species